UCAUCAGUUGCGAAUAUAAUAUAAAUAAUCGUUGCGUACCGAUCGGGUGUGAUUCUUGUGCUCAUUUUAUUGUAAAAAUAAUGAAUAUUUUUUGCUUGAUUGCUCUGUUUCUAUGUCUCACAGGUGUGAUGCCAACUCAUGCUGACGGAGAAUGUCACAACGGUCGAAGAUGUUUGGUGUACGACGAGUGUGAGGCACUGUAUUCGAGGUGGGGUCACAACCACUUCUGGCGGUUAAAGUUUCUGGCGCGAGUGCAUUGUGGGGUCAAUGAUAACCAGGAACCGAUGGUUUGCUGUCCCUCCGGGCUGACUUACGAAUGAACAGUGUUCCGUUAUGAAACAAAACUAUGCUGCAUUGACUUCGAAAGAUUUUAUGUAUACCUAUUACUUCUAUAGCAACUUAUCUUCAUAUAAUAAAUUUCAGUUUAAAUAAAAUUCUUAAGAAGUUGUAACUUUUAUUCCAUUCAUAUUGAAAACUAUUUAUUUCAAAAUUACAAAAAAAAUAUAUAUUU
rnacentral:lncRNA from 1 species